rnacentral:rRNA from 1 species
UACAGAGGUGGCAAGCGUUGUUCGGAAUUACUGGGCGUAAAGGGCGAGUAGGUGGCCAUCUAAGUCAGACGUGAAAUCCCCCGGCUUAACCUGGGAACUGCGUCUGAUACUGGACGGCUUGAGUAUGGGAGAGGAACGUAGAAUUCCAGGUGUAGCGGUGAAAUGCGUAGAUAUCUGGAGGAAUACCGGUGGCGAAGGCGGCGUUCUGGACCAUUACUGACACUGAAUCGCGAAAGCUAGGGGAGCGAACAGG